rnacentral:lncRNA from 10 species
GGAAAAACUGCAGGCUUUUUGGGGAUGGGGAAGUAUUUAUUGGGAAAACUAUCUAAAAACAGUGGAAUAAUUCAUUCAGGCCACAAAAGAUGCAAUAUCAGAUAUGGAGAUGUAGCUUUACCAGCUGAAGACACAACAGGGGUGAAUGCUCUAUGUAUUUCCAUUAGGACUAAUCAGAAUUUCAAAAUACCCAGAUGACUGCAUAAAAGCAAAACUUGCAUGCGUUUAUCCUCCCUCUCCUUCUUGAAGCUCCGGGAAAUCCAACAGUCUCAAGACGUAAAUAGAGGAUAUGUCUAGAAUCUUAGACUUUAGCAGGCAUUCCAAUGCAAAAACAAGCUACUCUGCCUGCAAGAAGAAAUGCAGGCUCUUCUAUUUUGGGAGACUUUAAGAACGUGGAGGUUUUGACAAAAGAGAAAUAGCAGCAAGCUUGGUCCUAUUCACACAAGGAGAGAGAAGGUGGCAGAAUGAAGAUUAUCCUUUGUCAGAAUGAAGGUAAGAAUGGAAUAUUACACAGACACAAAAAAGAAUGAGAUGAUGUCCUUUGCAGGGACAUGGAUGGAGCUGGAGGCCAUUAUCCUUAGCAAACUAACACAGGAGCAGAAAACCAAAUACUGCAUGUUCUCACAUGUAAGUAGGAGCUAAAUAAUGAGAACACGUGGACGCAUAGAAGGGAACAACACACACUGGGGACUUUCAGAGGGUGAAGAGUGGGAGGAGGGAGAGGAUCAGGAAAAAUAACUAAUGGGUUAAUGGCUUAAUACCUGGGUGAUAAAAUAAUCUGUACAACAAACUUCUAUGACAAGUUUACCUAUGUAACAAACCUACACUUGUACUCCUGAAUUCAAAAUAAAAGUUAAAAAAAAAAAAAAAGGAAUGAAGGUAAGGUCUAGGCUGUGUGACCUUGACCAAGCCAUCUUAGUUUUCAGGGUAUCGGAGUUCUCAUCCAUUCAAUUCUAACAAUAGCAAAGGAGUCGAAAAGACUAAACAACACUGCCUCUGACACAGGAGAGGUGCUUGGUAAACAUCCUAUUAUUUAUUCCCCUAUGCUGUUGAUUUUUUUGCAAUUGAAGAAGCAGAUGUAGUAAUUGGCAAACUAAUUGUCUCCCUUCCCAACUGUCUUUAAAGACCCAAUCCUCCUCACUUCUUUGAGACCUCUGUCACCAAAAUGUCUUGGGGUCUAAAAUAGAAAAGAUG